rnacentral:piRNA from 1 species
GAAGAGGGAGUAGAUGUACAUUCUGGUC